GGUUGCUAGCACAUUGUCACCUCUCAGUAGCUCUUCUGGGAGCUGAUCUCAGGACGCUCCAACCUUCCUGAGGGUAGGGGGAGUGGGAAGGAGCCAGGACAAAGCUGUGGGCAGCUAGGGUUCAGCCAUGGGGAGAGGGGUAGAUAAUACCCCAGGGUCCUCCCAGCCCAAGGGGCAGGAAGUGGGGCUGUUCACCCUCCAAUUCCCACUUGUAAUCAGCUAAGGGCUGCUUGUGUCCCGACCCCACAUUGCUGGGAAAGCCCUCAGGCAGAUUCUCCAGGGGCUGCAGGAGGCCUGCGCAGCGCUGGGAGCCAUGAGCCUGGGGAGUCACCAGGGCACCAGCAGAAACUGCGGCUCCACCAUAUUUAUUAUAGGAUUUGAAAAUAGUGACCAAUGUAUACCCCCUUGGAAUUAAUAUGGAGCAGACUCUAUUUAAAUGAGGAAAAGUGUAUUUUUCUAGUUAAUUGGACACUCAGGGAGUAGAGGACUGGAAUAGAGCCAUUGCGAUCUGGAUUUCUGUUUAAUAAAACAAGUGCGAGCGUGGCAUUAUUCUAACCACCAGUAUUUAUCUUUCAAAGUCACUUGGCAGCACUAAUAUGUGUAACUGCUAAAUGCAUGUGGUUGCUGAAAAUCUAAAAUAAUACAUUAUAAUCUAUUUAGAGCAGUAAGAUAAUUUAUGCUAUUAGAAACUUGGAGAAAAUGAGCAAUCUUUAAGCACCUUGGUAAACAGAGACAGUACCUGACGUUUGAAGCACAGCAAUUGCAGGAAGUCUUUUAUUCAUUUCAGAAGGAGGAGUCCCCUACCUCCCUGACUCAGCAUCGUUUGCUGUUUGCUAACGAACUUUUGGAUGCUGUGGCAUUGCUUCCUGGGAAGAUAAGCCAUGACCCUUACCGCAAGAGGCAAGUCUGGAUGGGCCUGGGUGCUCAGGGCCUUUUUCACCCAUACCACUGGGGUGUCCAAGGGACAAGGCGUGUGUGGAUUAUUACGGAGUAAACAGUGCUUUAUGCUUCAUCAGUAUAAUCACAUUCAGAAUCACAAAAUGUGCAUGCUAUCAGGAUCAUAAGCCCUCUCCUCUCUUUUUAAAAAGUAAGUGGGAAAAUAGUAAUCGUGUAAGCUUGUGGGGCGUGUGCUAUGGCGAGGUGUGCAUGUGCUUGCGGGUGCCUUAGCGGAGCCACCUCCUCACAUGAGUAUUGUGUGUGUGUGUUGAGAACGUUUAAAAUCUACUCUUUUAGCAAUUUAAAAAUGUGUAAUACAUUUUUAUUCGCUAAGAUUACCUGUCUGUGCACUAGGUCAGUGAAACCCAUUCCUCCCGCUUAACUGUUGACUUUGUACCUUUUGACCAACAGCUCCCCUUUCCGCCUCCGCCGCCUCAGCCCAGCCCCUGCUAACCGCCAUUCUCCUCCAUUCUUUUUCUCAGAGAUGCCAAUGAUCAGCCUUUCUCCCCCGUCUGGGAGCCCUGCGUGCCUGGAGUAUUACCUUUGCUUGCCGUGCGGCUCUGUCCAUGUUGCCUCUGGAGUGUGCCUUCUCAGCCUUCACUGUCCUUCGUUGCCUGGACACUUCUGAAGAGAGCAGGCCAGCAGUUUGGUCAGUGGCCCACCUGAGCGGACUGACGGGAUGUGCCCAUGGUAGGGACAUCCCAAAGCCCAGCACAUGGGGGCGGGGGCGGCUCAGCAGGACAGUGCUGUUGACCACGUUACGUGGCUGUGUAUGGGAAUGUUGGAUGUCUACCUGCUUCUGGUCCUCCCUGUUCUAAAAGCAAACCCCAGACCUGGAAGGGGAGGUGGGAGAAAGCACUGCUGGUACUCACGGGUCCCUGAACAAAGUCUUUGCCCUUCCCCCACCUCUCCAGAAAGCCCCUCUCCGGAGUCUGCCCUCUGACUUAGAUUGAAUUCUUCUUCUAAGUACUUCUGAAAUAGAAAUCCCUCUGAUGGCCACAGUGAAACUCCAUUUCUCUGCACCUCCACACCAGCUCAUCUGGGGCUAGUCCCUGCCCUUGGUUGGUUUUGACAAACAGAAUCUCUCUCUAUCACUAUUCACAGUUCAUACUACAGAGGGCUGAGUCUUCUGAAGAUCUCUGCAGAGAAUUACAAAUAUUCCAACUGCUAUUUGCUGCCACAGAGGGCUGAGCACAUGCAGAAACUUCUGGAGACAAAUUAUCCUUCAUAAACUCUGUGAAAUAUGUUCCUCUUAUGCCAAACCUAUCUUUUGAAAGGAAAAAGAACUUUCUGUGUCGGG